AUUGAACGCUGGCGGCAGGCCUAACACAUGCAAGUCGAGCGGAGCGGCGGACGGGUGAGUAAGUCCUAGGUAUGUGACUGGCCGCGGGGGAGAGCGUACGGAAACGGGCGCUAAUACCACAUCCUAUCAGAUGAGCUGAGUGGGGAUUAGCUUGUUGGUGGGGUAAUGGCCUACAAGGGCGACGACCCGUACCUGGUCUGAGAGGAUGAUCAGUCACACUGGAACUGAGACACGGUCCAGACUCCUACGGGAGGCAGCAGUGGGGAAUAUUGGAAAAUGGGCGAAAGCCUGAUCAAGCAAUGCCGCGUGUGGGAAGAAGGUCUUCGGAUUGUAAAGCACUUUAAGUUGGGAGGCGUUACCAACAGAAGAAGCACCGGCUAACUUCGUGCCAGCAGCCGCGGUAAUAC
rnacentral:rRNA from 1 species